GAUAGCAAUAUCACCGGCGGACGGGUGCGUAACGCGUACACAACGUGCCCAAGGGCGGAGGAAAGCGGCGGGAAACUGCCGGUAAUACUCCAUGGUGUUGUUGAGUGGCAUCACUUAACAACUAAAGUACAAGCGCCCUUGGAUCGGUGUGCGUUCGAUUAGCUAGUUGGCGGGGUAACGGCCCACCAAGGCUUCGAUCGAUAGGGGGUGUGAGAGCAUGACCCCCCCACACGGGUACUGAGACACGGACCCGACUCCUACGGGAGGCAGCAGUAAGGAAUAUUGGACAAUGGGCGGAAGCCUGAUCCAGCCAUGCCGCGUGAAGGACGAAGGCGCUCAGCGUUGUAAACUUCUUUUGGAUGGGAACAAUAACUCCGACUUGUCGGAACUUGAGGGUACCAUCAGAAUAAGCACCGGCUAACUCCGUG
rnacentral:rRNA from 1 species